rnacentral:misc_RNA from 1 species
GCCUACUGUUUAAUUUUGAGGGUUCGUUUUUACGAAUACUCAAAAUUAGCACUUUAAGCAACAGAAUAAACUGAACGCAUGUGAAGUUUGUUUGUUGGCGACGUGCUUUAGCACUUUAAGCAACGGAAUUUAUUCGUUGGCGCUGUGCGUUAACACUUUGAAAACUGCAUAUAUAUUUAGUGAUAUGACAUCUAAUUUGUAAUAUAUAAAGCUGAUAACUUUUUAAAAUUAUCGAAGUUGAUAGCUUCUAAUCUAUCAAACCUUUUUAACUGGUCAA